UACGUAGGGGGCAAGCGUUGUCCGGAUUCAUUGGGCGUAAAGAGCGUGUAGGCGGCCAGGUAGGUCGGUUGUGAAAACUGGAGGCUCAACCUUCAGAGGUCGACCGAAACCAUCUGGCUAGAGUCCGGGAGAGGAGAGUGGAAUUCCUGGUGUAGCGGUGAAAUGCGCAGAUAUCAGGAAGAACACCCGUGGCGAAAGCGGCUCUCUGGAACGGUACUGACGCUGAGACGCGAAAGCGUGGGGAGCGAAC
rnacentral:rRNA from 1 species